AUCGCUUCUCGGCCUUUUGGCUAAGAUCAAGUGUAGUAUCUGCUCUUAUCAGUUUAAUAUCUGAUACGUCCCCUACCCGGGGACCCAUGCAUUCAUGUAGAAACAUCAGUUUAACGUUGCUGAUUUCAUCAGGAUAUAUUCUGCUGACCAGACAGAAUCAAUAAAGUUUUGUUUCAACACAUCAUC
rnacentral:snRNA from 1 species